rnacentral:rRNA from 1 species
UGAGUAGGCGGUUGUUCAAGUCAUAUGUGAAAGCCCAGGGCUUAACUCUGGGACUGCAUAAGAAACUGGAUGACUAGAGUACAGGAGAGGUAAGCGGAAUUCUUAGUGUAGCGGUGAAAUGCGUAGAUAUUAAGAAGAACACCAGUGGCGAAGGCGGCUUACUGGACUGAAGCUGACGCUGAGUCACGAAAGCGUGGGGAGCGAACAGGAUUAGAUACCCUGGUAGUCCACGCUGUAAACGAUGAUUGCUAGGUGUUGGCGUGAGAACGUCGGUGCCGCAGUUAACACAAUAAGCAAUCCACCUGGGGGAGUACGACCGCAAGGUUAGAA